AGGGCUGUGGCUAAGUGGUACAGUGCUUGCCUAGCAUGCAUGAGGCACUGGGUUCAAUCUCCAGCACCACAU
rnacentral:tRNA from 1 species